UACAGAGGGUGCGAGCGUUAAUCGGAAUUACUGGGCGUAAAGGGCGCGUAGGCGGCUAGGCAAGUCAGGUGUGAAAGCCCCGAGCUUAACUCGGGAAUUGCAUCUGAAACUGCUGUGCUUGAGUUCUGGAGGGGGUAGUGGAAUUCCCAGUGUAGCGGUGAAAUGCGUAGAUAUUGGGAGGAACACCUGCGGCGAAGGCGGCUACCUGGACAGAAACUGACGCUGAGGCGCGAAAGCUAGGGGAGCGAACGGG
rnacentral:rRNA from 1 species